CCUACGGGUGGCAGCAGUGGGGAAUAUUGCACAAUGGGCGCAAGCCUGAUGCAGCCAUGCCGCGUGUGUGAAGAAGGCCUUCGGGUUGUAAAGCACUUUCAGCGGGGAGGAAGGCGGUGAGGUUAAUAACCUCAUCGAUUGACGUUACCCGCAGAAGAAGCACCGGCUAACUCCGUGCCAGCAGCCGCGGUAAUACGGAGGGUGCAAGCGUUAAUCGGAAUUACUGGGCGUAAAGCGCACGCAGGCGGUCUGUCAAGUCGGAUGUGAAAUCCCCGGGCUCAACCGGGGAACUGCAUUCGAAACUGGCAGGCUAGAGUCUUGUAGAGGGGGGUAGAAUUCCAGGUGUAGCGGUGAAAUGCGUAGAGAUCUGGAGGAAUACCGGUGGCGAAGGCGGCCCCCUGGACAAAGACUGACGCUCAGGUGCGAAAGCGUGGGGAGCAAACAGGAUUAGAUACCCCGGUAGUC
rnacentral:rRNA from 1 species